rnacentral:tRNA from 1 species
AGCGUAACUCAAUUGGUAGAGUGUCAGCCUUCCAAGCUGAAUGUUGCCGGUUCGAUCCCGGUCGC